UACGUAGGGUGCGAGCGUUAAUCGGAUUUACUGGGCGUAAAGCGUGCGCAGGCGGCCCGUUAAGACAGGUGUGAAAUCCCUGGGCUCAACCUAGGAAAUGCGCUUGUGACUGGCGGGCUCGAGUACGGUAGAGGGGGGUGGAAUUCCUGGUGUAGCAGUGAAAUGCGUAGAGAUCAGGAGGAACACCGAUGGCGAAGGCAGCCCCCUGGGCCUGUACUGACGCUCAUGCACGAAAGCGUGGGGAGCAAACAGG
rnacentral:rRNA from 1 species